rnacentral:rRNA from 1 species
AAAGAAAAUAACAAUGAUUCCCUUAGUAACGGCGAGUGAAGAGGGAUAAGCUCAAAUUUAAAAUCUGUUAGGUUUUACCUAAUCGAGUUGUAAUUUGAAGAAGCGUUUUCCGCGUCUUUGUUGGCCCAAAUCCUUUGGGAUAAGGUAUCAUGGAGGGUGAGAAUCCCGUACGGCUGAUGUAAUGACGUUUUACGAUACGCUUUCAAAGAGUCGAGUUGUUUGGGAUUGCAGCUCUAAAUGGGAGGUAAAUUUCUCCUAAGGCUAAAUAUUGGCGAGAGACCGAUAGCGAACAAGUACCGUGAGGGAAAGAUGAAAAGAACUUUGAAAAGAGAGUUAAAAAGUACGUGAAAUUGUUGAAAGGGAAACGAUUGAAGUCAGUCGUACCGACGAGAAAUCAACUCAACGAAUGGGUAAUUGCGGGCGUAUGAGAGCUUCACGGUCUCAUUGUUUGUAAAUGCAUGUUCUUUGGGUGUACUUUUUCGUAUGGUAGGUCAACGUCGGUUUCGAUUGUUAUAAAAUGAUCGGAGGAAUGUAGCUUCGAUUUCGAUUGAAGUGUUAUAGCCUUUGGUAGAUGUAUUGAUCGAGACCGAGGAUUGCAACGAAUACCCUUUCGGGCUAUCCGUCUGACCUCUGAAAGUUGCUUAGAUGCCGAAAGCUUGCUUACGGUCAUUUAAGCCAGCGGUCAAAAGGUUAGAACGUGAUUAAAUUCGUUAAGGACGUUG